UACGAGGGGGGCAAGCGUUGUUCGGAAUUAUUGGGCGUAAAGGGCGCGUAGGCGGUGCGGAAAGUCUUCAGUGAAAUCUCUGGGCUCAACUCAGAGUUGGCUGGGGAAACUCCCGUGCUUGAGUGUGGGAGAGGUGAGUGGAAUUCCCGGUGUAGCGGUGAAGUGCGUAGAUAUCAGGAGGAACACCGGUGGCGAAGGCGGAUCUCUGGGCCUGUCCUGAGGCUGAGGCGCGAAAGCUAGGGGAGCGAACGGA
rnacentral:rRNA from 1 species